UGAAUUCUUUAGUCCUCUGUCGCUUGGGCGGUCCGACCGAUCCACCGGCUGCUCCCCGUCGGGGUCCUCCAGAGAUGGUGUUGAUGAUCCCGAUUGGAGGCCAAUCUUCAGGCUGUUCUUCCCUCCUUGGCAGCUCUGGCUGUGGUAGGGCCCUCGGUCGAUCCUCCCUACCUUCAGAUCGAUGUCGGAUGAAUCUGUCGAGCCGACCUCGUUUGAUGAGCUCCUCGAUCUCAUCUUAGAGCUGAAUACACUCC
rnacentral:lncRNA from 1 species